rnacentral:tRNA from 1 species
GAAUCGGUGGUUCAGUGGUAGAAUGCUCGCCUGCCACGCGGGCGGCCUGGGUUCGAUUCCCAGCCAAUGCA